UAAAUCAGUAAUGGUUCCUUAGAUCGUACGCACAUUUACUUGGAUAACUGUGGUAAUUCUAGAGCUAAUACAUGCAAACAGAGCUCCGACCGGAGACGGAAGGAGCGCUUUUAUUAGAUCAAAACCAAUCGGCGGCGGGCGCUCGUUCGUUCGUCGUCGUAGCCACUGGUGAAUCUGAAUAACUUUCUGCUGAUCGCAUGGUCUCGCACCGGCGACGCAUCUUUCAAAUGUCUGCCUUAUCAACUGUCGAUGGUAGGUUCUGCGCCUACCAUGGUUGUAACGGGUAACGGGGAAUCAGGGUUCGAUUCCGGAGAGGGAGCCUGAGAAACGGCUACCACAUCCAAGGAAGGCAGCAGGCGCGCAAAUUACCCACUCCCGGCACGGGGAGGUAGUGACGAAAAAUAACGAUACGGGACUCAUCCGAGGCCCCGUAAUCGGAAUGAGUACAAUCUAAACCCUUUAACGAGGAUCAAUUGGAGGGCAAGUCUGGUGCCAGCAGCCGCGGUAAUUCCAGCUCCAAUAGCGUAUAUUAAAGUUGUUGCGGUUAAAAAGCUCGUAGUCGAAUCUGUGUCCCGCGCCGCCGGUUCAUCGCACGCGGUGUUUAACUGGCGUGACCGCGGGACGUCCUGCCGGUGGGCCCCGUCGACUACCGUCGCUCCGUUCUUCUUCUUUCGUCGUUGUCGUGGUGGUGGUAACAUGCUGCUGCUGCGCGGCGGCGGUGGGGGGGAGUUUCGGGAGGCGGCCGGUCGGCAGCCCAACUCAAUCCCACCGCGGUGCUCUUGACUGAGUGUCGAGGUGGGCCGGCACGUUUACUUUGAACAAAUUAGAGUGCUUAAAGCAGGCUAAAAUUUCGCCUGAAUACCGUGUGCAUGGAAUAAUGGAAUAGGACCUCGGUUCUAUUUUGUUGGUUUUCGGAACCCCGAGGUAAUGAUUAAUAGGAACGGAUGGGGGCAUUCGUAUUGCGACGUUAGAGGUGAAAUUCUUGGAUCGUCGCAAGACGAACAGAAGCGAAAGCAUUUGCCAAAAACGUUUUCAUUGAUCAAGAACGAAAGUUAGAGGUUCGAAGGCGAUCAGAUACCGCCCUAGUUCUAACCAUAAACGAUGCCAGCUAGCGAUCCGCCGACGUUCCUUCGAUGACUCGGCGGGCAGCUUCCGGGAAACCAAAGCUUUUGGGUUCCGGGGGAAGUAUGGUUGCAAAGCUGAAACUUAAAGGAAUUGACGGAAGGGCACCACCAGGAGUGGAGCCUGCGGCUUAAUUUGACUCAACACGGGAAACCUCACCAGGCCCGGACACCGGAAGGAUUGACAGAUUGAGAGCUCUUUCUUGAUUCGGUGGGUGGUGGUGCAUGGCCGUUCUUAGUUGGUGGAGCGAUUUGUCUGGUUAAUUCCGAUAACGAACGAGACUCUAGCCUGCUAAAUAGGCGUACUUCCGACAUCUCAAAGGCCCGCCGGUCCGGCGUUCGCGUCGCGGCCGCGCGCGGUUUUUACUGUCGGCGUACAUACAAUUCUUCUUAGAGGGACAGGCGGCUUCUAGCCGCACGAGAUUGAGCAAUAACAGGUCUGUGAUGCCCUUAGAUGUUCUGGGCCGCACGCGCGCUACACUGAAGGAAUCAGCGUGUCCUCCCUGGCCGAGAGGCCCGGGUAACCCGCUGAACCUCCUUCGUGCUAGGGAUUGGGGCUUGCAAUUGUUCCCCAUGAACGAGGAAUUCCCAGUAAGCGCGAGUCAUAAGCUCGCGUUGAUUACGUCCCUGCCCUUUGUACACACCGCCCGUCGCUACUACCGAUUGAAUGAUUUAGUGAGGUCUUCGGAUCGGUACGCGGUGGCGCGACGUCGCCGAUGCUGCUGAAAAGAUGACCAAACU
rnacentral:rRNA from 1 species